UGACGCUGGCGGCAGGCCUAACACAUGCCAAGUCGAACGCGAAAGUGACUUCGGUCUGCAGAGUAGAGUGGCGGACGGGUGAGUAACGCGUGGGAUCUACCCAGUAGUGGGGGACAACGUCCGGAAACGGGCGCUAAUACCGCAUACGCCCUACGGGGGAAAGCGGGGGAUCUUUCGGGACCUCGUGCUAGUGGAUGAGCCCGCGUCAGAUUAGCUGGUUGGUGGGGUAAUGGCCUACCAAGGCGACGAUCUGUAGCUGGUCUGAGAGGAUGAUCAGCCACACUGGAACUGAGACACGGUCCAACUCCUACGGGAGGCAGCAGUGGGGAACUAUUGCACAAUGGGCGCAAGCCUGAUGCAGCCAUGCCGCGUGUGUGAAGAAGGCUUUCGGGUUGUAAAGCACUUUCAGUGGGGAGGAAAGGGUGUCGGUUAAUACCUGGCAUCUGUGACGUUUACCCACAAGAAGAAGCACCGGCUAAACUCCGUGCCAAGGCAGCCGCGGUAAUACGGAGGGUGCGAGCGUUUAAUCGGAAUUACUGGGCGUAAAGCGCGCGUAGUGCGGUAAAGUUAAGCACGCUUGUGAAAGCCCCGGGG
rnacentral:rRNA from 1 species